CCUUAAUAAAAUCAUGACUUUACGUCAUAUAAUUAGUCAAAUAUGGUAAUUACCCUUCACGUGCAUUUUUUAUUUUUUUUAAAAGAAGACAACCUAAGGUAUUAAACUUGGGAUAUUUUGACUCUUUUCAUGCAACCAUUUUACCACCAAUCUAUGCCAAAUUAUUAUUUUUUUUUUUUAAAUUGGUGAUUUUUUUUGACACAUAGCAAUUUAAGAAUACAUGUACUGAGAACUGAG